rnacentral:lncRNA from 1 species
AAUAAAAAGAAUAUCACAAUCCAAAUCAACGGAUACAAUCAUCUUUUAGCACAAACAUCCCUCCACGUCAUCGAUCCGCACCAAAUCCAUCCAUCAUCGUCCAUUCAAUCCUCGAAAUCCACGGCCACGAUUCUCUCAACUCCCGCCCAACAAUCCCCCUCCUUUAUUUAAAAUACAAUCCCCAUAAAUAAAAAGCCUAUCACAAUCCAAAUCAACGGAUCCAAUCAUCUUUCAGCACAAACAUCCCUCCACGUCAUCGAUCCGCACCAAAUCCAUCCAUCAUCGUCCAUUCAAUCCCUG